CGUAGGGUGCGAGCGUUAAUCGGAAUUACUGGGCGUAAAGCGUGCGCAGGCGGUUUAGUAAGACAGGCGUGAAAUCCCCGGGCUCAACCUGGGAACUGCGCUUGUGACUGCUAAGCUAGAGUACGGCAGAGGGGGUGGAAUUCCACGUGUAGCAGUGAAAUGCGUAGAGAUGUGGAGGAACACCAAUGGCGAAGGCAGCCCCCUGGGUCGAUACUGACGCUCAUGCACGAAAGCGUGGGUAGCAAACAGGAUUAGAUACCCUGGUAGUCCACGCCCUAAACGAUGUCAACUAGGUGUUGGGAAAGUAAAACCUUUUAGUACCAAAGCUAACGCGUGAAAUUGACCGCCUAAAGAAUACAACCACAAGGUUA
rnacentral:rRNA from 1 species